rnacentral:rRNA from 1 species
GACGAACGCUGGCGGCGUGCUUAACACAUGCAAGUCGAACGGAAAGGCCCUUCGGGGUCCUCGAGUGGCGAACGGGUGAGUAACACGUGGGUGAUCUGCCCUGCACUUUGGGAUAAGCCUGGGAAACUGGGUCUAAUACCGAAUAGGACCACGCGCUUCAUGGUGUGUGGUGGAAAGCUUUUGCGGUGUGGGAUGGGCCCGCGGCCUAUCAGCUUGUUGGUGGGGUAAUGGCCUACCAAGGCGACGACGGGUAGCCGGCCUGAGAGGGUGACCGGCCACACUGGGACUGAGAUACGGCCCAGACUCCUACGGGAGGCAGCAGUGGGGAAUAUUGCACAAUGGGCGCAAGUCUGAUGCAGCGACGCCGCGUGAGGGAUGACGGCCUUCGGGUUGUAAACCUCUUUCAAUAGGGACGAAGCGCAAGUGACGGUACCUAUAGAAGAAGCACCGGCCAACUACGUG